CCCAGACUCCUACGGGAGGCAGCAGUGGGGAAUAUUGCACAAUGGGGGGAACCCUGAUGCAGCGACGCCGCGUGAGUGAAGAAGUAUUUCGGUAUGUAAAGCUCUAUCAGCAGGGAAGAAGAUGACGGUACCUGACUAAGAAGCCCCGGCUAACUACGUGCCAGCAGCCGCGGUGAUACGUAGGGGGCAAGCGUUAUCCGGAUUUACUGGGUGUAAAGGGAGCGUAGACGGCAGUGCAAGUCUGGAGUGAAAGGCGGGGGCUCAACCCCCGGACUGCUCUGGAAACUGUACGGCUGGAGUGCAGGAGAGGUAAGUGGAAUUCCUAGUGUAGCGGUGAAAUGCGUAGAUAUUAGGAGGAACACCAGUGGCGAAGGCGGCUUACUGGACUGUAACUGACGUUGAGGCUCGAAAGCGUGGGGAGCAAACAGGAUUAGAUACCCGGGUAGAU
rnacentral:rRNA from 1 species